UAGCCACGGUAAUACAGAGGGUGCGAGCGUUAAUCGGAUUUACUGGGCGUAAAGCGUGCGUAGGCGGCUUUUUAAGUCGGAUGUGAAAUCCCUGAGCUUAACUUAGGAAUUGCAUUCGAUACUGGGAAGCUAGAGUAUGGGAGAGGAUGGUAGAAUUCCAGGUGUAGCGGUGAAAUGCGUAGAGAUCUGGAGGAAUACCGAUGGCGAAGGCAGCCAUCUGGCCUAAUACUGACGCUGAGGUACGAAAGCAUGGGGAGCAAACAGGAUUAGAUACCCCUGUAGUCCCUGUCUCUUAUACACU
rnacentral:rRNA from 1 species